rnacentral:rRNA from 1 species
AGAAGCGAAAGUGACGGUACCUGCAGAAGAAGCACCGGCUAACUACGUGCCAGCAGCCGCGGUAAUACGUAGGGUGCGAGCGUUAUCCGGAAUUAUUGGGCGUAAAGAGCUCGUAGGCGGUUUGUCGCGUCUGUCGUGAAAGUCCGGGGCUUAACCCCGGAUCUGCGGUGGGUACGGGCAGACUAGAGUGCAGUAGGGGAGACUGGAAUUCCUGGUGUAGCGGUGGAAUGCGCAGAUAUCAGGAGGAACACCGAUGGCGAAGGCAGGUCUCUGGGCUGUAACUGACGCUGAGGAGCGAAAGCAUGGGGAGCGAACAGGAUUAGAUACCCUGGUAGUCCAUGCCGUAAACGUUGGGCACUAGGUGUGGGGAACAUUCCACGUUUUCCGCGCCGCAGCUAACGCAUUAAGUGCCCCGCCUGGGGAGUACGGCCGCAAGGCUAAAACUCAAAGGAAUUGACGGGGGCCCGCACAAGCGGCGGAGCAUGCGGAUUAAUUCGAUGCAACGCGAAGAACCUUACCAAGGCUUGACAUGUUCUCGAUCGCCGUAGAGAUACGGUUUCCCCUUUGGGGCGGGUUCACAUGGUGGUGCAUGGUGUCGUC